AUUGAACGCUGGCGGAAUGCUUUACACAUGCAAGUCGAACGGCAGCACGGGGCAACCUGGUGGCGAGUGGCGAACGGGUGAGUAAUAUAUCGGAACGUGCCCAAUCGUGGGGAUAACGUAGCGAAGUUACGCUAAUACCGCAUACGAUCUACGGAUGAAAGCGGGGAUCGCAAGACCUCGCGCGAAUGGAGCGGCCGAUAUCAGAUUAGGUAGUUGGUGGGGUAAAGGCUCACCAAGCCAACGAUCUGUAGCUGGUCUGAGAGGACGACCAGCCACACUGGAACUGAGACACGGUCCAGACUCCUACGGGAGGCAGCAGUGGGGAAUUUUGGACAAUGGGCGCAAGCCUGAUCCAGCCAUUCCGCGUGCAGGAUGAAGGCCUUCGGGUUGUAAACUGCUUUGUACGGUAACGAAACGGUACUGCCCUAAUACGGCAGGCUAAUGACGGUACCGUAAGAAUAAGACACCGGCUAACUACGUGCCAGCAGCCGCGGUAA
rnacentral:rRNA from 1 species